rnacentral:lncRNA from 1 species
AUCCAGAUCGACUUAAGGUUGCCGGGACCCGUAGCAAGCCUACUAUACAUUCUGUUAUACCUAAUAAAUCCCAUACAUGAUCAUACAUUAUCAUAAAAACUUAAACUUUUUCAUACACCAAGCUUGAUCUGUGCAUACACUAUAACUGAAAACAUACAAACCCCAUACUAGAGCCCUCAUCAAAUACUCUAGUUGGGUCAACAUCUCAUAUGUCACGCCUGGUUCACAUAUAACAUCAUUAAAACAUUUUCAUAAGGAUCAUGUACACCAGAGAUUAACCAUAAACAUUAGGGCUAAGCACAAUACUAAUCCGCAAUACUUUUCUUUACAUUACAUUACAUCAUUCUUACAUACCAUGUCCACUACUAAUCUAUUAUAUAACCAUAACUUUUAUCCUUGACGACUUCCCGGUCGAUCCUGAACCUGCAAACCUGGGGUUUAGGGAAAAGGGGUGAGCUACAAGAGCCCAGUGAGCAGAAUAAUAAAAAAACAGUUUAUAAACAUAUGCCAGCAUGAAAUGCAC